rnacentral:rRNA from 1 species
AUUGAACGCUGGCGGCAUGCUUUACACAUGCAAGUCGAACGGUAACAGGCCGCAAGGUGCUGACGAGUGGCGAACGGGUGAGUAAUGCAUCGGAACGUGCCCAGUCGUGGGGGAUAACGCAGCGAAAGCUGCGCUAAUACCGCAUACGAUCUAUGGAUGAAAGCGGGGGACCGUAAGGCCUCGCGCGAUUGGAGCGGCCGAUGUCAGAUUAGGUAGUUGGUGGGGUAAAGGCUCACCAAGCCGACGAUCUGUAGCUGGUCUGAGAGGACGACCAGCCACACUGGGACUGAGACACGGCCCAGACUCCUACGGGAGGCAGCAGUGGGGAAUUUUGGACAAUGGGCGCAAGCCUGAUCCAGCAAUGCCGCGUGCAGGAAGAAGGCCUUCGGGUUGUAAACUGCUUUUGUACGGAACGAAACGGUCCGGGUUAAUACCCUGGGCUAAUGACGGUACCGUAAGAAUAAGCACCGGCUAACUACGUGCCAGCAGCCGCCGCGGUAA